UACGGAGGGGGCUAGCGUUGUUCGGAAUUACUGGGCGUAAAGCGCACGUAGGCGGAUCAGUCAGUCAGGGGUGAAAUCCCGGGGCUCAACCCCGGAACUGCCUUUGAAACUGCUGGUCUGGAGGUCGAGAGAGGCGAGUGGAAUUCCGAGUGUAGAGGUGAAAUUCGUAGAUAUUCGGAGGAACACCAGUGGCGAAGGCGGCUCGCCAGAAUGCGCUCGACGGUGAGGGAUGAAAGCUGGGGGAGCAAACCGG
rnacentral:rRNA from 1 species